rnacentral:RNase_P_RNA from 3 species
GUUGCACACCGCUCUGCCGCUCCAAUUUACUUGGUGAGGAAAGUCCGGACAACAAAGAGUACCGUGCCACCUAACGGGUGGUUUUUGCAAUAGCAAAAAAGAGAGUGCCACAGAAAAUAACUACCUGGCAGCAAUUUUUUGCCGCAAGGAAAAGGUGAAAAUGUGCGGUAAGAGCGCACGUUCUGCCAAUGUAAAUUGGUAGAAGGGUAAACCUCACGGGUUGAAAGCUCAUGUACACUUGCGCUUGAGGGCUACUCGCUCGAUGCAAGGGGGUUGAGUGCUAAAGGUUUCGCGCGAGCGCAACUGCAGAUAAAUGGUAGAGGUUUGCUUUGGCAAAAACAGAAUCCGGCUUAUAGGUGUGCAACUUUU